GCGAGCUUCCCUUCUGCUUCCCUCAGAGGUCCGGCGCAGCGACCGGGUGACGUGCCGUGCCAGCCCGCGGCCUCCGCGCUACCUGAGCCAAUGCUAGAUCUGGAGGUGGUGCCCGAGCGGUCUCUGGGGAACGAGCAAUGGGAGUUCACCUUGGGAAUGCCAUUGGCUCAGGCUGUAGCAAUUCUUCAGAAACACUGUCGCAUUAUCAAAAAUGUCCAAGUUCUCUACAGUGAGCAGUCACCUCUUAGCCAUGACCUCAUCCUUAACCUGACUCAGGAUGGAAUCAAACUGCUGUUUGAUGCUUUCAAUCAGAGACUUAAGGUGAUUGAAGUUUAUGACUUGACUAAGGUGAAGUUAAAAUAUUGUGGUGUCCAUUUUAACUCUCAGGCAAUUGCUCCAACCAUAGAACAAAUUGAUCAGUCGUUUGGAGCAACGCAUCCAGGAGUGUAUAAUUCAGCUGAGCAACUCUUUCACCUCAAUUUCAGAGGACUGUCAUUUUCUUUUCAGUUAGACUCCUGGACUGAAACUCCGAAGUACGAGCCUAACUUUGCCCAUGGUCUAGCCUCUCUGCAAAUUCCACAUGGUGCGACUGUGAAACGUAUGUACAUCUACAACGGAAACAGUCUGCAAGAUACCAAGGCUCCCUUGAUGCCUCUCAGCUGUUUCCUUGGUAAUGUGUAUGCCGAGAAUGUUGAUGUUCUGAGAGACGGAACUGGACCCUCAGGUUUACGGCUUCGCCUACUCACUGCAGGUUGUGGCCCGGGUGUUUUAGCCGAUGCCAAGAUGCGGGUAUUUGAGCGUUGUGUGUACUUUGGUGAUUCAUGCCAGGAUGUGCUGAGCACCUUGGGGUCUCCGCACAAAGUCUUCUACAAGUCUGAAGAUAAGAUGAAAAUCCAUUCACCCUCACCUCAUAAGCAGGUCCCAUCAAAGUGCAAUGACUACUUCUUCAAUUAUUUUACACUUGGAGUGGAUAUUCUCUUUGAUGCAAACACUCACAAGGUGAAGAAAUUUGUCCUGCACACAAAUUAUCCUGGUCAUUACAACUUUAACAUUUACCAUCGCUGUGAAUUCAAGAUUCCACUAGUCAUUAAACGAGAUAGUGCCGAUUCACAGACAGAAACAUGUACGACAUAUAGCAAGUGGGACAGUAUUCAGGAUCUUCUGGGGCACCCUGUAGAGAAACCAGUGGUACUUCACAGGUCGUCAUCUCCAAACAACACUAACCCAUUUGGGUCAACCUUUUGCUUUGGACUGCAACGAAUGAUCUUUGAGGUGAUGCAGAAUAAUCACAUAGCGUCUGUUACUCUGUACGGCCCAACGCGGCCCAGCAGCCAGUUGAGAACAUCGGACCUUCCCCAGUGAGCAUCCCCUGCAAAGUCAACUAAUCUCAAUGCUACAAAAUUAGUACAGCGUGCCUUGAUUUGCUGCCACUUAUAAUAUGGAAAGCACGUUAUGAUUUUUUUUUUUUUUUUCAAUAAGCCUUUCCACCCAGGAGUGGUGUGGAGGGGAAAUUCUCUCAACCCUUCAUCAUGGGGCAUGGAACUGUUGAUGGAGGAAAGCAGCUUAGGUGCCUGUGCCGUCGUUUAUUCCUCUCCGUUGCCCUCAUCCUAUGCAGCACAGACCUGAAGAGACUGUCCCCCCUUCUCAGCUGGCAGAAGGGGGAAAUGGAAAAGGGGCACGUAAUGACUGCAAGAGUUAGAAGCACAAACUUUCUGAGCCUUGGAGCAUCUGGAAGCAGGUGUCACUCCUGUUGAAUCCCUGUUCAAUCUGUGCUGUCUCCUGUGAUCAUUGCUUGCUAAGAAAAUUCUAUGCCUCAACCUUCCUUUUGAUUCCUCUCUAAUUUUAAUUUCAUUUUACAUAGCCCUUCUGUAAAUUAAAUGGAAUAAUGAUGAGCAUGUACACUGAAAGCAAAAUAAAAAGAGACUCUCAGUUACUGUUUUUGUGUUAAAUACAGUUGCUGGGUGUUUUUGUAAUAAAAUCAUGGAUAUUCUUGGGGUUUUUUUUCUUACCAAUUAGUUCUUUUUAUUUUACUGUCUUUCAGGCAUUAUAUUUGAAGUACCCAUCUAGUGUUCCUCCUUUACAGCUGAUACAGUCUGUUAUCCAAAGAAACAGUAUAAAAACUAAUAUAGCUUGCAGUCUGUAUCCUAAUAGAUCCAUGAAAGUGUAUGGAUAAAUUUUUGUCCUGAAGUGGAGAAGGAAAGUCUUUAAACUAUGGUAAAUAACACUGUGGGUUCUGUAUUGUGUCAAAAAUGCAAUUGUUACACUCACGUCAGCCUUUGGGUGUCAUUAAAAUCAAUCAGGCUUCAGAGAGUUUGAAUAUUGCACAACAGAAUGAAAUAAAUGUCUGCAGUAAAAGGAGCAAAUGUGAAUUCUCAUGCUACUUUCUUGUGCCCUAAGGUACUUCAUCAGAAGAGCAUUUGAAGGCUGCUUACCCUGAAGUAACUUAGAGGUUAACGCAGGGCGUAAAAAAUGGGACUUCUGUUUCCAUUCGCAUUUCUCCUGCACUGCCUGUGUAAUGCAGGGUAGAGCACUUAGCUCUCCCCCACUAGCAUCCUGCAGUUUUGGAGUAUAAAACAGCCUUGCCUGGUGCUUGGCUCAGUGUGCUCUUGGGAGAAUUUGAUGAUCUCUGAACUGAGAUGGUGUGCAUGCUUAUGCUUGUUACUAAAAUUACAACAAUCCUGCUAAAAAAUUAAUUUUAAUUAGCCCUAUUCUAAUAAGGGCACCAGAUUAGCUGCAGGAGGAGAAAAAUUCUUGAUGAGAUGAUUUGAGCAAUGGCUGCUCAGAUGCUGCCAGUCUAUGCUUGAGAGCAGGAUUCAGCUGUAAUUCUCCAGAAGUGUGAGGUCAGGACUGCUGCUGUAGCAUGCACCUCAGGAUGGCAGCAGUUCAGGUAUUUAACAACUCCAGUGAUUCCCAUCUUCACUUGUAAUGCUCUGGUGAGUCAAAGCAACUAAAACAGUGUAGAUGAUGAAAUGUGCUAUCUUAGCAGCCUAGACACUUCUCUAGGUCAGUCAAUCUUCAAAAGUUCUUCUAACAGGCAAAAAUUAAAGACAACUUUGCAUCUUGCUGAUGGGCUGAGCACAAAGCAUUGGACUUCUGGGAGAAGCAGAGCUAUAAUGCAGAGCAGCUCUUCUGGAUUUCCUGGCACUUCCUUUGUGAUUGCAGCUGGUCACAGCUCACUUCUCUAAGAUGUUUUGAUUUGCUUGUGGCUAUUGGGGCUAAGAUAAGCUCAAGUUGCUCCUGUGCUGAUGCAUUAGGGGAGCUGGUGUGGAGCCUUAAGGACUUGCUGGCAUGAAAAGUUUAGGACUGGGUGGGGGGACUGAUGACACUAACCGGAAUGAAGAGAGGAAGGAACAGGGAAUAGAGGAGCUCUGGGGGUGAGGGUGAGGAUGGCAGCAUGGCAGGAAGGAGGGGCGGGAACAAGGCUGUUCAUCUGAACCAGAAGCUGUUCCUUGCGGAGGGGUGCUCAGGGUGCAGCCCUGUUCUAGCUCUGCUGGGCAGGGCGCAGCACCUUCCCCUCACAAAGGAACCGCGGAAUUUGAGCUGUAUCGGAUCCCAUCUCAGCAGGUGCCCUUGUUGGAAUUGCAUCUGGUUUGAUAAAGAUCCUGUGUGUUGGCAACGUGUGCUGGUCCAUCAUAUGGUUUCAUAUGAUAAACUGUUUGAUACAACAUUAAGUACAACUGCAUUUUUAAUAAAACACAUGGAUAUGAUCCCAUUUUGAUGUGUGUCGUCUUCCUUUGUAUAGACCAAGAGUUUGAGUGUGUGUAUGUGUGGUUGAAUAUUGCAGUAUUUCCCAUAGUAUUUCAUUUGUUUACACUUAAUAAAACUGAUUCUUGUGCUCUUCUUUUUGGAGAUGAAGCUGAUGAAAUUUCUUCACAUAUCUUUCAGGCUUGCAAGCAGUCCCUGGGCUCCUGUGAAUAUUACAGGCACUACUAUAUAGAUCAGUGCUGCUGUGUAAUACUAGAACCCUCUGUUCCCCAAAAUGCAGUUCCUGUCAAGAAAACCCAAUUUUCUUUUGCCAGGAACCGUCACACUUCUAAUUCUAAACAUAAUUUUUUGCUGAAAUAGUAAUCGGGUGGUGUGUGAGAACUGAUUCAUGCACUCAUGAUAGUUCAUAUUCCAGAACUCCCAUCAAACCUGUUUAAAAACAAAUCUUUCCCACGGCUUAGGAUUGCAGCAAGAUGGUGAUUCACUGUUGUCAGGGGCUGGCUGGAGGUUAGGCCGCAGCUGGCAUUUUCCAAUGGGAAACCGAGGGUGGUGGUGCCCACUUCCCACUGACUUUGUGGUGUUAGAGCCUGUUAGUCGCUUAGCAGCUCUGUUAGGUUUUGUGUUUGAUGGCUCCAAACGUGUAUGAGAGUCAGUCUGCAUGUGUGAAGCUGUGUGGCUCUUGCUUUGACAGAAAUGUCCGAACUGUAGCUUUCUUCAGAGUCACCAAGGUGUCCAAUAUGGCAGAAUUUCACAUGGGCUGGUUGUGUUUUAUAGGUCUUUGAAUUCAGAAUAAUUUUUGGUGUUGUGAUGCAAAAAAUCCUAUUUGGUGCUAGCUCUGCAGGUACAGCAGUUCCAUAUUAACUUUUGUCCCAUAAACACUUUUUUUAUUGUACCUUUUUAACCUUGAUUACACCAACACAAAGCACUGUCCUUUCAGGCUGACCCUGUCAGUCAUAAACUGACACAGCACUUGUAGCCAAAUGUAUUACUGUGUUUGGUUGGGGACUUAAAAUACAAAUUAGUUCUGAAUGGUUCUUUUCAUAUAAGGUAUGGCCCAGCAUGUUUCAGAUAAGGUAAGGUUGGAGCAAAAUAAGGGGAAAAUAAAACUGGAGCUUACUGAAGAUACAACUCUUAGCAUUGAAAUAGGAUUGUGAAUUAAUGAAGCAGGGAGCCUUAUUCAAGGUCAGGGUAUAGCCAGUUCAUCAAGUGAAAACUGCAUCUAUGAAGGGAUUUGGUUUUGAAGGGGUGUAUAUGUUACUUUUAGGGUAUAUUCUCUACAUAUGUGAACUUUCACUGUAACUAAUAAAGUCACUGUGUUUAAAAUGUUUUAUCUACCAAACCUUCUAUCAAAGGCUUUUGUUUUCUUUAUGGGGAUUCCAUCAGGAAACAUCAUUCCUUUUUGUGAUCUGGGAACACUGACCUCUUGAAGCAGCAGGAAAGGUAAGCUGGAAUUUGCAGAGCAGGUCAUUUACUGUGGUGUAAGAUACUCUCUACAGGCAGUAACUUUUGUUCUGAACUAGACUGGAAUGAUGCAACGUAACCUUUUCUCUUUCAUACCCUAAUUAAUUCCUCUUUAAAUGUUACUAGUUUGGUCAUUUUAAAGUACUGCAUACUGCAAUUUUGAAAGCUGUUUCUAAUUGCCUUAAUGUUUCCCACCUAUGCUACAUAUUCUACUUAGUGCCUAAGUUUCAUUCCAGUAUUAAUAUCCUUCAGAGACACAUUUAGUCUAAAUACCAAUCAUAAAAAAAGCCCCGUGUGGUUAUGCAAUGUGCAGUCUAAUCAACUAAGUAAUCAAAACGGCCUGAAUCACUGUAUUCCCUUUUCACCUCUGCUGGUCUUUCUUAGAAAAACUUAAGCCCUGAAAUCCUGAGUUUACCCUGUUCCUUGCUGAGUAGCUGUUGCAUCCACAAGUAUGGAGGCUACCAAGAUUAUUUCUUCUGCUUCUAUGGCCAUAGAGAGUGUUUGUCUUAACACAACUCCUUUAUUCCCACCCAGCUCAGUCAGUCCCCUGGCAACAAGGCAGUCAUCAUGGACCUGUGUUAUUUUAUGUUUUUUUCCCUGUUCUGGGCACUUGGCUUGACAGCAGGUGGGCUGGGAAGGGGAGAGAGAAGAGCUGUCAGCUGGGUUUGGGCGAAUUGGAGAGAGGGUUAGGCUGGACAGGACUGGUGGGGGAGCUGUUUGCUACUCUUGGAGAGACUCAGAUGCAUUCGUCCUUUGGGGUUUAGUUUCCUCUCUUAUUAGCAUGAUUUUCUUACUGACCAUAAACCUUAAAAAAUCAUGAAAAGUUGGAUUUAAAAGUUUUACCUGUUUUGACAAAUGUCAGUAGAGUUAGUAGCAUCAUUAGGGGAAUGUGGUGGGCUGAUGAGACCUGCAACUCCAGCUGAAAGAUACAGCUUGGGCUCAGCUGUUCUUCAAACUGGGCUUUGGGGUAGACUCCCCCCUGCCACCCCC